UACAGAGGGUGCGAGCGUUAAUCGGAAUUACUGGGCGUAAAGCGUGCGUAGACGGUUACCUAAGUCAGAUGUGAAAGCCCCGGGCUCAACCUGGGAAUUGCAUUUGAGACUGUGUAGCUAGGGUGCGGAAGAGGGAAGCGGAAUUUCCGGUGUAGCGGUGAAAUGCGUAGAUAUCGGAAGGAACACCAGUGGCGAAAGCGGCUUCCUGGUCCAGCACCGACGUUCAGGCACGAAAGCGUGGGGAGCAAACAGG
rnacentral:rRNA from 1 species